GAUAUGAAAAUACUAAUUAGAGUUCUAAUUAUUACAUCUACCACAUUUGAGACUUUUAAUCCUUCUUAAUCAUAUUUGUUUAUACUAUCUCAUGCAUUUCCAAGUAUUAUUUUUGGCGGUGCAUAUGCGUUGACAGAUGCUACACUUUGGACUUUGUUGGUUUUGUUUAACUGCAGAUUUGUUUUCUUUAGCUCUCAGUAGAUGCUCCUUUAAGAUGCUCCAAGUUUGUGUGGUUUUAAAUAUGAUUUAGGGAUUUUCCAAGUAUGUAGUGGCACUUAUAAGAUUUAGCUGGACGGCUGCUGCUGUUAUGUACACUGUGUUUGUACCUCCGGAACGGAAUGCUGCUAUUACUGUAGCAAAAAAAUCACUCCGCCCUGAUGCAGAAUAUCAGGCUCUACAUAUGCGGCCAAAUGGCUUAUUUUUCGUUUUUCCCGAGGAUUCCUCCGGGGGCAGUGGAAUCUAAUCAUCAAGCGAGCCAAGUGGUUCUUGAAUCAACGAGGAAGAUCGCAGGAAGUUGACGAUUUUAUCUUAUGACAGCCGUAUUUGCGAUACAUAAUCUUUGUUCUAGUGAGGGUCCCUAGGCACUAUGCGAUAGAUUAUAACAAUGACCAUGUUACUUAUUGAAAUAAACCGAUAUUCAAAA